GGCUCAGAGUGAACGCUGGCGGUAGGCCUAACACAUGCAAGUCGAACGGCAGCACAGGAGAGCUUGCUCUCUGGGUGGCGAGUGGCGGACGGGUGAGGAAUACAUCGGAAUCUACCUUUUCGUGGGGGAUAACGUAGGGAAACUUACGCUAAUACCGCAUACGACCUUCGGGUGAAAGCAGGGGACCUUCGGGCCUUGCGCGGAUAGAUGAGCCGAUGUCGGAUUAGCUAGUUGGCGGGGUAAAGGCCCACCAAGGCGACGAUCCGUAGCUGGUCUGAGAGGAUGAUCAGCCACACUGGAACUGAGACACGGUCCAGACUCCUACGGGAGGCAGCAGUGGGGAAUAUUGGACAAUGGGCGCAAGCCUGAUCCAGCCAUACCGCGUGGGUGAAGAAGGCCUUCGGGUUGUAAAGCCCUUUUGUUGGGAAAGAAAAGCAGCCAGUUAAUACCUGGUUGUUCUGACGGUACCCAAAGAAUAAGCACCGGCUAACUUCGUGCCAGCAGCCGCGGUAAUACGAAGGGUGCAAGCGUUACUCGGAAUUACUGGGCGUAAAGCGUGCGUAGGUGGUUGUUUAAGUCUGUUGUGAAAGCCCUGGGCUCAACCUGGGAAUUGCAGUGGAUACUGGACGACUAGAGUGUGGUAGAGGGUAGUGGAAUUCCUGGUGUAGCAGUGAAAUGCGUAGAGAUCAGGAGGAACAUCCAUGGCGAAGGCAGCUACCUGGACCAACACUGACACUGAG
rnacentral:rRNA from 1 species